CCUAGAGAGGGCCGGUGCCAUCAGCACUGCUGCCUCUGACCCACCCCCUACCCUGUUAUACUGGCCCGUGUGGGCUUUGGUGCCAGCCCUGCUCAGCCAUGGACCCUCAACUUCUCUGAACCUUAGUCUCCUCUUGUAGCAAAUGGGCUCAUCAUAGCCGGGCCUGGCAUUGAGCCACGGUUGCUAUGACCGUCCACCUAGAGGGCCCAGCCAGGCCUUGUGGGUCGUGCCUCUGCCCCUCAAGGCUGAUAGAGAUGCGUUUUCAGGGAGAAUGGAUGCGGUAAUGUGAGGAAACAGGCUCAGGAGUGCAGACCCUUCCUCAUCUGCUGUGUGACCUUAGGUCAGCCCUGCUCCUCUCUGAGGUCUUUUUAGCAGGCAGAGCGAGGGCUAGAGCGGCCCCCAGCGCCCUGCAGCUCUGCUGUUGGACUGUUCCAAACCUCAUUCCCUCCACAUUCCUGACUCCUGUGUGACUGCGGGCCAGGUGGCCUUCCCUUCAGCCUCUGAGGUCCCAUCUGUGUCAUGGGGUUAUUAGCCCUGCCUUCUUGGUCCUGGGCUGGGACUGGAGGCACCAUCCUGGCGUGGAUGGGGUGGCAAAGAGAUAGAUACCCCCAUCCCUCACCCCUGCUUUUGCCCCCAGUGUCAGGGACUCUUCUCCCUGGUGUGGGCCUGGGCCUGUGGGGAACUGACGGAGAAGCGACAGCGGGCAUCCUGCAGGGAGGGGCCUCAAGGAAGGCAAGGCCAGCACCCCCACCCCAAAGGGCCUCUGUCCCACCCAGGAGGCUCCAAUCUCCCAGCAAGGUCAACCAGUAACCAUGGGGAUGGAGCGGAGCUGUGAGUAGGGGCAGAGACCUAGACUCCCACCCCACAGGGCAGUCCUGAGCAAGGGCUCUCCAUCUGCAAAGUGCAGCUCUGGCCCCUGCUCUAGGCUGCUAGGGCGCUGGGAAGCCCUCCUCCUUCCCCUUCUGGGCCACUUUCUCUGGGGUCCCCCUGCCAUGUGCUAUGUGCCCAGGCCGUUUCUCGGGGCUGCCCGCUGUGCCUUACUUUGACCUCAGCCGCUAGGACAAACUUGAGAUACCCGGAGGAAGCUCACCAGACAAGUCAGGGCUGAUGUUUAAGCGCGUGAAGACAGUGCUGCGGAAUUCCUGGAGUGGGGAGAGAGCAGCAUGUGGCACGGCCUUCGGGAGGCAGCUUCCAGCUUACCCCAGCCCACCCUAGAGCCUCAGCUUUGAAUCCCGUCUCCAUCGCUUCCUAGCUGGAUGCCUUUGGGCGAGUCCUGAAAGAUCUGUGCUGUGAGAGGGGACCUAGUGGAUGAUCCUUGGCUGCUGCCAGAACGUUUCCUUUGAGUUCCUGGAGGUCCUGAUGCCCAGGAGCACUGUGGGAGCACUACGAAUCCCUCACCCUUGUGAAUGCUUUGGAGCUACAAGCCAGGUCAGCCCAGGGAGGAGGCUCCCACAGUGAGGAGCCUCUCCUUCCUCACUGUGGCUGGAGGGAGAGGCCCACUUAGGGGAGGCUUAAAGGCCUCCCUAGCUUCAUGUGACCAGGUAAGUUUGUAAUCCUGGAGGCCUGUCUGUGCAAGGGCCUGGGGGUGACUCUGGGGGCAUCCAGGACAGACUGCUUGAGAGUGGGGCUCAACAGAUGGUGAAGUGUUGUGACUGGCAAAUACAGAAAGCCAGGAGUGUG